GACGAACGCUGGCGGCGUGCUUAACACAUGCAAGUCGAACGGCAAGGCCCUGCUUUUGUGGGGUGCUCGAGUGGCGAACGGGUGAGUAACACGUGAGUAACCUGCCCUUGACUUUGGGAUAACUUCAGGAAACUGGGGCUAAUACCGGAUAGGAGAUCCUGCUGCAUGGUGGGGGUUGGAACGUUUCGGCGGUUGGGGAUGGACUCGCGGCUUAUCGGCUUGUUGGUGGGGUAGUGGCUUACCAAGGCUUUGACGGGUAGCCGGCCUGGGAGGGUGACCGGCCACAUUGGGACUGAGGUACGGCCCAGACUCGUACGUUAGGCAGCAGUGGCGAAUAUUGCACAAUGGGCGGAAGCCUGAUGCAGCAACGCCGCGUGCGGGAUGACGGCCUUCGGGUUGUAAACCGCUUUCGCCUGUGACGACGCGUGAGUGACGGUAAUGGGUAAAUAAGCACCGGCUAACUACGUG
rnacentral:rRNA from 1 species